rnacentral:tRNA from 1 species
AUUUAUUUAGUUAAGUAGUAUAAUACUAAACUUAUAAUUAUAAAUAAGGAGUUACGGGUUCGAAUCCCGCUCUAAGUA